UCCGGAAUAUUGCACAAUGGAGGAAACUCUGAUGCAGCAACGCCGCGUGGAGGAUGACGCAUUUCGGUGUGUAAACUCCUUUUAUAUGGGAAGAUAAUGACGGUACCAUAUGAAUAAGCACCGGCUAACUCCGUGCCAGCAGCCGCGGUAAUACGGAGGGUGCAAGCGUUACUCGGAAUCACUGGGCGUAAAGCGCGCGCAGGCGGCCUUUUAAGUUGGAUGUGAAAGCCUACAGCUCAACUGUAGAACUGCAUCCAAAACUAUUUGGCUAGAGUGUGGGAGAGGAAGAUGGAAUUAGUUGU
rnacentral:rRNA from 1 species